UUUUUUUUUUUUUUCUUUCCAUAGAUUUUGGCCGUACAAAUUGGAAGCUUGCCUAUACUUUAUCUAAAAAUCUGUAUAUGACCGAGCUUGAGUCUAGCAAAUUGAUUUGACCGAGCUACUCGCAAAUUGGUUUGACUCGGCCCUUAGACGUCUUACAAUAUUUUUUGGCAUGGUUUGAUUUAGCCCCUAGAUGUCUAAGAAUAUCUUUUGGGCUCGAAGAGACCAGCUAAGUUAACCUCUUAACUUAUUCACUGAACAAACUAAGCUAGCUAAGUUAACCUCUUUUUUUUAUAUGACGUAGCUAAGUUAACCUCUUAACUUAUUC
rnacentral:lncRNA from 1 species